ACCGGCUGAAGGAAAGAUGAGGAAGGAGGGAAGGCAGAAGCCAAGGAAGGAGGGGGCCACGACAGUGUUGAUUCAGGGGGAAGCCAGCUGCCAUGUCUUGAUGACACUCAAGUAGCCCUAUGGAGAGGUCCACAGGGAGAAUAACUGAGGCCUCCUGCCGAUAGCCAGCCCUGACUUGCCAGCAUGAGCGACCUUGGAAGCAGAUCCACCCGCCUCAGUCAAUCCUUCAGACGACUGCGGCCCCAGCUCUCAUCUUGCUGCAGCCUCAUGAGAGGCCCUGAUCCAGAACCACCAGGCUAGUCUGCUCCCUUAUUCUGACCUCAGAAAUUGUGUGAGAUAAUAAAUGUUUGUUGUUUUAAGUUGCUAAGUUUUGGAGUCGGUUUUUUUUUUCUUUUUAGA
rnacentral:lncRNA from 1 species